rnacentral:rRNA from 1 species
UACGUAGGGUGCAAGCGUUGUCCGGAAUUAUUGGGCGUAAAGAGCUCGUAGGCGGUUUGUCGCGUCGAAUGUGAAAACCCGGGGGCUCAACCCCCGGACCUGCAGUGGGUACGGGCAGACUAGAGUGCGGUAGGGGAGAUUGGAAUUCCUGGUGUAGCGGUGGAAUGCGCAGAUAUCAGGAGGAACACCGAUGGCGAAGGCAGAUCUCUGGGCCGUAACUGACGCUGAGGAGCGAAAGCGUGGGGGAGCGAACAGG